rnacentral:antisense_RNA from 1 species
GUUCUUCAGACAUCUGAACAAAUCUUUGGUAUUCUUUAAAUUGUUGUCUUGGUGUUUGAAUUGUCUUUCUGUUAAUACCAAUGGAAACUGAUUCAAUAAUAGUUAAAAGAAUUCCUCCAACCAUUGCACUCUUUAAUGAAGUCUUAAGACCACCUCUAAUAGCUAGUAGUCCACCCGUUGCUGUUCCUGAAAAAAUUGCAUUCCAAUGAUCUUCCUUGCCUCUUAAUUUGGCAAAAAGGCAAUCAAAGCAAGAAAAUGUUCCACCCCAUAUGGCAAAGCUCGUGCCAAGAGAAGGAGCUGCCUUUCUAGCAAAAAGCAUACCGCUAGAAAACAUCUCCCUUUUGGUUGAGGAGUACUUCACACCUUUGAAAAAACUUGUAAUAAACCCACCAAUACAUCCCAUACUAAAGGCUCCGCCAAGGUCUUCAAAUACUCUUCCUGGAAAAGGUUCUCUGGUAAAAUCGCUCAUAAUAAAAGAUAAAAUCUGCAGAUAUAUAUAUUUCAAAUUACUUAGAAUAAAUACAUACUUAUAAAAC